GCACAGGUGAGUUCCUCUUGUUCUGCAUGACUUUGUACAUCAUGUGCUUCUCUGCUGUUGCAAGUGUCCAUCCUUGUAUUAUAAGCUAUGUGGCUUGGUCUGGGAUGGAAAUACUCAUUUGCACCGGUUUGAUUCAGCUUUGGGUUUGACUAUAAAUUGGUCUCUGUUGAAU
rnacentral:snoRNA from 1 species